AGGGGCACAGCCAAACCACAUCAACUAGUAAUUGGAUUUAGAACCACCCUAAUCUAGUAUCACCUCACCCUAGCUAAUUACGUCGGCAAAGACUUAUUUCCAAAUAGUCACAUUCUGGCAUGCAUUUUGGGACAGAAACAGUUGGAUGAGUGGCCCUAUUCAACCUACUACACUAGCCAAAGGUACCAGCAUCGCCGCAGGGUGGUAGAGCACUGAGCAGGCUCUUGGGGUCCCUGAUUCCAGGACUUGACUCUUCAGUGGCAUUUCUGGACCUUUCCUGAGCCAGAGGAGCACCCAAUGACCUGAAAGGUGAGUCCCAGCCCAGGCAGCAUUCACCAUAAUCUGACUGAACAGACCAUGGUCCUUAAUGGAAUAUUGGUAGUGGCCUGGCAGUACUUCUUGUGGCCAGGAGUGGCAGUGGCUACAAAGUGAGACUUCUCUGCCUUUGAAAAGGGGAGGGAAGAGUGGGAAGAACUGAAUCUUGUGGUUUGAGUUUCAGCUCAGCUGCAAUACAAUAGAAUACUAGGAAGACUUCUAAGUUUUUUUUACUCUAGUCUCUGACUUCCAGGUAGCACUUCUGGAAUGCCCUGGGGCCUGGGGGACCCUGUCAGCCUGAAGGGAAGGCUGGCAAGCUCUGCCACCUACUGAUUGUAGAGCCCCGGAGCCUUAAGCAAACAUAGGCAGUAGCCAGGGAGUGGUUACAGCAAGCCUUGGGUGAGACAUAGUGCUAUGCUGGCUUUAGGUCUGACCCAGAGCAGUCAUAGUGGUGGUGAGCACAGGGGUACUUGUGUCACUACACCUCCAGCCUUAGGUGGCUCUGAAAAGACAGAGAGACUCUGUAUGUUUGAGAGAAAGGGAAGAGAACAAGACUCCCUACCUGGUAAUCGAGAGAAUUUCCCCCAGACCUUGUCCAAGAUCAUCAAGGUGGUACUUCUACAAGUCUGCAAGAACCACAGCAUUACUAGGUAUGGGAUGCCCCCUAAAACAGAAACAACUUAGAUCACAACACCCAAGUCCUUUCAAAUAUCUGGAAAGCCUUCUCAAGAUGGAUGGCUACAAAUAAGCCCAGGCAGUAAAGACUAUGAUAAAUACCUAAUUCUUCAAUGCUCAGACACUAAAGAACAUCUUCUAGAAUCAACAUAAUCCAGGAAAACAUGUCCUUACCAAAUGAACUCAAUAAAGCACCAGGGAUCAAUCCUGGAGAAACAGAGAUAUGUGAACUUUCAAAUAGAGAAUUCAAAAUAACUGUGUUGAUGAAAUUCAAAGAAAUUCAAGAUAACAAAGAGAAGAAAUUCAGAAUUCUAUCAGACAAAUUUAACAAAUCAGUAAAUCAGUAAAAAGAAUCAAGCAGAAAUUCUGGAGCUGAAAACUGCAAAUGGCAUACUGAAGCAUAUAUCAGGGUCCUUUAACAGCAUAAUGGAUCAAGCAGAAUAAAUAAUUAGUGAGCUUGAAGACAGCCUAUUUUAAAAUAUGCAUUCAAAUGAGACAGAAGAAAAAGCAAUAAAAAAUAAUGAAUAACACCUACAGGGUCUAGAAAAUAGCCUCAAAAUGGCAAAUCUAAAACUUUAUUUGCUGUAAAGAGGAGAUAAAGAAAGAGAUGGGGUAGAAAGCUUAUUCAAAAGAAUAGCAACGGAGAUCUUCCCAAACCUAGAAGAAGAUAUCAAUAUCUAAGUAUAAGAAUGUUAGAGAACACCAAGCCGAUUUAACCCAAAAAAUAUCACCUCAAGGCAUUUAAUAAUCAAACUCCCUAAAGUCAAGGAUAAAAUAUCCUAGAAGCAGCAAGAGAAGAGAAACAACAUACAAUAAAGCUCCAAUACACCGGCAGCAGACUUUUCAGUGGAAACCUUACAGGUCAAGAGAGAGUGGCAUGACAUAUUUAAAGUCCUAAAGGAAAAAAAAAAAUCUUUUACUCUAGAAUAGUAUAUCUGGUGAAAAUAUCCUGCAAACAUUGAGAAAUAAAGACUUUCUCAGACAAACAAAAGCUAAGAGAUUUCAUUAAUACUAGACUUGUCCUACGAAAAAUGCUAAGGAGAGUAAUUCAAUGAGAAAAAAAUAAUAUGAAUGAGCAAUAAAUAAUCACCUGAAGGUACAAAAUUCACUGUAAUAGUGAGUAAACAGAAAAACACAGAAUACUGUAACACUGUAACUGUGGUGUGUAAACUACUCAUAUCCUAAAUAGAAAGACUAAACAAUGAACCAAUCAAAAACAAUAACUGCAAAAACAUUUCAGGAAAGAGUCUGUACAAUAAAAUACAAAUAGAAACAGCAAGAAGUUAAAAAGUAGGGGGAAAAUUUAAGGCAAGUUUCUAUUAGUUUUCUUUUUGCUAUUUUGUUUUUGAAAGUAGUGCUGUUAUCAGGUAAAAAUAAUGGGUUGUAAGACAAUACUUGCAAGUCUCCUGGUAACCUCAAACCAAAAAACAUACAAUGGAUACACAAAACAUAAAAAGCAAGAAACUAAAUUAUAUCACCAGAGAAAAUCAACUUCACAAGAGGAAAACAGAAAUGAAAAAAAAAAAAAAAAAAGAAGGAAGAGAAGACCACAAAGUAACCGGAAAACAAAUAGCAAAAUGGCUGGAAUAAGUUAUUUAUCAGUAGUAACAUUGAAUGUCAGUGGACUAAACUAUCCCAUCAAAGAAAGAGAAAGAAAG
rnacentral:lncRNA from 10 species